UACCAUGAUCAUGCUGAAGAUGCAUUUGUGCUUCCCAGCGGCUACCCGGAAGAGCAGGGCGGCUCGGAUGCUUUCACAAACAGCAAUGCGCGUCGCAUCAACAUUGAAUCGAUUGUCGAUGUUACUGAUGACCAAAAACUUGCUGCUGCUGUUGCUGAUUCUGUACAGAGUACCCAAGAGGUUGGGCAUGUUGCUCAUGGUAUGGCAAUCGUGCC